rnacentral:rRNA from 1 species
UUGGCGGCCUUUUACUUUGUCAGAGGAACUCGUAUCUUCAUCCGAUAACCCCCGUUAACUCUUUCUAUAUUUCCGUAUUUAUAUCGCCGUCCCCAGACAAAAAUUCCAAUUUUUAUCCUCAUAGAUUUUCUUCCACGUCAGGUCGAGAUAAAGCUUAUAUUAUAGCGAGCCGAGUUACAAAUUUUUAUCAAUUACAUUUUUUCAUUAAAAAAUGUCAAAGCUCAGGAUUUGAUAGUAAUUCAAAAGUAAUUUUUUUUUAUGAAUACAUCAAAAAGGCGUACAUAUCGCCCGUCACCCUCGUCCAAAGAUGAGGUAAGUCGUAACAAAGUUAAUGUACUGGAAAGUGCAUUAAGGG